UCGGCCAUUCAAAACCACAUCCACAAACCCUCAGGUCGUCCUUCCAUAAGUUAACCCGCGUCGGAAGAGCUCUCUCCUUCAAUCGCUCACGGCGGGCAUGGGGGAGGUUGGCGGAUCCAAGAAGAGGAAGCGCGAGCCAUCAGCAGUGAAUGGAGGGGGCAAGCCCAAGUUGACGUAGCUUAAGAAUGCCGCCUCCAAGCCGACGAAGCUCAAAACGCAAGGCUUCAAGAAGCAGUCCAAGGCAUUCGAGUUAAAACCGGGAAAGCCUACCAAAUCCGGCGAUGAGGCCGCUAUACAGGCGAAGAAAGAGCCUAAGACCCCAAGGGAGAGGUGCUUGGCUGCCAAGGUUUGCUCCACUGCCUUCAUCUGGUUGCCUGAUUUUAUUUGGGGCUUUUGGGUUUCAUUGUAGUACAGUUAGAUGUUUGCUGAAUGAUUCAUUUUUUUCUCGGUCUUUGUGCUUUAUAAGAUUGAAUCGGACUGAGUAAUCUUUGUAUUUAAUUGAUUAUUUAUUUGAUGUAGAGACUCCAUUUUCUUGAACCCUUUGUAAGAGUACUGAUGGACGAGAUCUCCUAUUUCUUAAUUCGAUUGGCCUAACUGAAUAUUCUUGGAAUUCAAUUGUUUUUGACAUAGACCCUUCAUUUGCUUGGUUCCUUUGGUGUAAGAGAAGGCUGGCAGACGAUAGAACCUAUAUACUAGUAUACUUCAAUUUAUGUAUGCUGCUAUCUAUAUUUCUUUAAGAUGGAGUGUAAUCCAUGAAGGUUAAUUGUCGUGGAGAGGCUUCUAAGCCUCAUGGCAACAUGCAUUAUUGCUCUACCAUUUAAAAUGCCAACUUUAGUUUAAUUUGAAUUUAAACUGUGAUGUCUGAGAAUGUUCCCAGAUUUUUUAUAUCAUUUGGUUUGUCCAAGAAAUGGCUAAAACAAGGAAGAAGAAGAGGAAACCAAAUUACAACCAUGAGAAAGUAAGCUUGAUUUUAACUGCACAAACAUCUUCUCUUCCUGUAUUACUCUGCAUCUUCUGUUAAGUUGCCUAAUAAUUACAUGAUUUAUUCCAACAAUUUCUUAUUUGAAUGGUUCUUGGAAUCACUUGUUGGUUGUUGUUGUUAUUUUUUCUUGUGUUUGUAGGUGUAAAUAGCCUAAUCAAAACCAAUAGUUUGAUCCACUUGUUAUGUUUGUGUCUUAGUUUCAGCAGGAUUUAGUAGCCUCAAUUGUUUGGUUGAAUUUUGUUUACUAUGUCUCGUGGCAUGUGCGAUGUCAACAAGGUGAAGCUUCAGGGACAUGAUGCUGUGCCAGGGUUUUUGUCGGCAUAUUAAAUCUCUCGUGUGAUAGACAAACACUUGUUCUAUAAUAAGACACAUUGACGUUUGAUCUACGUGUCACAGUUGAUUUAGGCUUAUGAUGUGCAACACUUAGGUUGAAAUUGAGGGUUUAGUUAUUUUUGGUAUAAGAAGGGAUAACAUGGAAAUGAAGGCAACCAACCAUGUUUCCAGAAACUUAGAAAUAGGGCAAAAGAAAAAGACCAAGACGUAAGUCAGUGGACACUGUCUUGGAAACCAAGGAUUGUCCUUUCAUGGAGAAAGGAUUUGCUGAAUGAAGUUGGUCUUUGCUGGUUGGUAAGUCCAUGCACAACAUGUCGCAAUUGACAUGACAGUCCUUGGUGAAAACUUAAUGCUAAUAAGCUACUAUACUGGUCUCCUGGGAGAGAUGAGUAAGGAAAGCUCCGCCAACAAGAAUGAACAAUAUUGAUGGCAGCUAAGAAUAUAGAAUGGAGAAGAAAAACCCAUGUGUCAUUGGUAGCACAUUUAAGCCGUUAGUUCGUUGUGUCCUGUAUGAGUGCUCCACUUUUUGAUACUAGAUUUAUAUGUUUGGAUGUCCCAGAUCUAGUACAACUAGUCAUUGGGAGUGGUAGUCGACGUUACGAGGGCUAUUGAGUGUCGAUAGAGGAUCAUCCACUCUCGGCAUCAUGAGAGAAAUAUCCCAUGUGUUCUUGCUCAGACAAAUCCCUGGCCAGGGUCAUUCGGAUUGAGAGAGAAAGAGUUCUCCGGGAGAAUCCGAUUAGAGCGAGACUCAAGAAGAAACCGUAUGGGUCUGACAGCACCUUACCCGAUAUACGGUCUUUGAGAUAUUAGAUGGAUGAGGGACUAUAGGAAUACGAUAACUAAGGACAAACAAGUCCAAUGGAUUGGAUUCCCCUGUAUCGUUUGGGGACUACGGCAUAGUGGCCUAGUACGUCCGUAGUCGAUGAGUCGAGUGAAUUAUUAUAGAGAUAAUAAUUCACUAAGUUAGAAAGAGUUUUGACAGGUAUGACUCACGGCCAGCUCGAUAUUGGGCCUAGAGGGUCACACACAUAUGGUAAGCAUUGUGAUGAGUAGAGGUUCGGAUAUGAGAUAUCCACCGGAGCUCCUAUCUUAUUGGAUAUCCAAUAAGCCCCUGAAUUAUUGGAUCCCAUGAACGAGAUCUAAUAAGAGCCCAUGAGAGAUUAUUGGAUAGAGAUCAACUAAUCUAAAAGGCUUGGGUAAUUGGAUGUAGAUCCAAUACCCACUAGGGGAGGAUCCAUUAGGGUUUGACAGGGGACCUCUAUAAAUAGGAGGGAUUCAAUGGUUCAUAGGCUAGAGCCUAUGUUUGCCUCUCCUAUUUUUCUCCCUCUCUCCACCUCAGAGUAGGCCUGGAGUUUUGAGGAGCGUCGUCAUAGCCCUACUUUGUGGAUCACCGCUAGAGAGGAGGACGCUUGACCUCCUUCACCCUCUCCUAGAGAUCUACAAGGAAACAUGGAUAUAUGAUCUCCUUAGGUAACACAAUCUAUUCUAUAUACAGUAUGUUUCGCUGAUUUUUGCUCACCAAUCUUCGCACGACGACGAACAUCUAUUUGGAAAAUUAGGGAUUUUGUUUUCUUAUUCUUCCAUUGCGCAUGUGAUAUCGCCCCCAAGAUUUCCCAACACCAACACAUCAGGGAGUCAAAAGUGCCAUAUAGGGCCAUCUGGGCCCAAAAGGUGGCGACGUGCUCCGCUAGAUCAGAGCCACCAUCAUAGGCCUCCAACGUCGAGAGGUGAAAGUUGAGGGGGAUAGGCUUGUCCUGAAUAUCUUACGCAAAGGAGGGACCCAGCCAAGGUACUUUCCCUGAGCUCCUCCUUGGAUUUAUGAAAUUCCUUUUGAACCUCGUCCAAGCACCAAUUCACCAACCGUAAUUGGGCCCAGAACGAGUCAUCCAUCGAGUCGGACGAUAAAGUGUUGGGUUCGGGGAAGGUCGAGGUAGCACGUCUGGGCACAACAACAUUGCGCUCUGCCAUUGGCCUUGGGUGUCUUGAUUGCUCCCUAGUUGGUGGGUUGGCAUCUAGAGCCAGAGGUGGCUGGUCAACCGGGGUGGUUGUUGAAUCUCGUAUUUUGAUGAAACCAAUUGAUAAGUGUUUAUGAUUUGAUCUGCAUUUUUAGUGACGCAGGAUGCUUCGAUCAGGAUGAGACAAUUAAAGCAGGAAGAAUCAUGUUGGGCCGGAGGAAAACAUAUCAGAAGAUUGGACGUCGGGCCAGAGGAUUGGUUGACGUAUCGACAGAAGGCUUCGGGCCAUGGAUUUGGGCAUUGGCCCAAGAAGGGCGGAUAUUGCGCCAAGGAUAUCAGAGUUGCGGAGUCAAUUGGACGAUUGGGCAAUAGGCCGUAAGAGAGGACGAUGCGUCGAAGAAUCGGACGAAGCAUCGAUGGACCAAUGACAUGUCGGACAACAUGAUUCAAGCUUAGUAAUAAUUGUCUAGAUCGAAGUGUGUUUUACAUGUGUAGGAUUAACUAUGAUAGCAAGGCAUGAAACAAAAUAAAGUCCUAGAGCUAAGGACGCGAUUUCGUUAAGAGUUCGAGAGUUUAUCGGAAGACCAAACGUUCGUCGAAAGUUCUACAGGAACCAACCGAGAAGUCCAGUAGCUUGCUAGAAGAAGCUCGUCGGAACUCGCCAAGAAGAUUGUCGUGAAGUACAGGAGCUUACCGGAAGUCCGUUGGAACAUUGCCGAGAGAUUGUCGGAAGUUCGACGGAAGAUCACCGGAAGCUCGCCGGAAGAAACUAAGAACUAGGGACUGGAUUUGGGCCAACCCAAUUAGGGGCCGGUUGGGCCCAUGUAAGAACUAUGUUGGGCCCAAUGAAAAGGCCUAAAUAGUGCCCCAAUAGGUGACACCAUCGUGGCACAGUCUCCGAGACAAAUCAAGCUAAUCCGAAGAAGGAAGCACUUUGGGACAAAUCAAGCUCAUCCGAAGACAAAAAGAAAAUCAACAAAGGCGAAGUGGCAAACUACGCCUUAACGGCUUUCUACAACGAGGUUCAUGACAUUCUCAGAUAUAUGUGAGACAUAAGUUCACAAUUUUGAGCAAUCCACAGGAAUAUCAUUAUUAUCAGGGAAAUGAAGAACUCCGUAUGCCAGAUACCUCAUGCCAGUCCAAUGAGAACACAAAAAAUGCAGACAACUGAUCUAAUCUAUCACACAAGGAUUGGCAGAAGGAUAGUUACAGACUACACUUGCCAAAUUUGGCAGAAGGAUAGUUCCUCUAGUCCAACAGUAAGCACUAAACAGAUUCCUACAGACAUAAGCACAGUCUACCGCAAGUCCUGUCAUGCUUUCUUGCACUUGCAGUUCUCUUGUUCUUGCUUUAGGACCUGAAUGAGAAAAUUAAUGCUAGAAUAAGAUUACAAGCAUCGAAUCCAUGGAAACAGGAAGCUUAUCCCUAAGAUGAAAAGAAUGAAUAUGGAUGGUAGAAUUAAUAUGUUGAUUGUGUUGGAUGA